GGACAAGGUCACGUCAGCACCGUGAAGUCAGAUCUCUGAAAGAUAACUCGCAGGAGUGAAGACAAGGGUGUUCUCAGUGCUUCAGCCUGACAAACACAAGUGCACACUGCAUGUAUCUGGUCUAGGACAACAUAAGGAAACACGUCUACCACACAGCACAGAGGACUUUGUGUUUCAAAAUGAAGAUUUAUUUAUAGAAAUCUGGCUGUCACCGCAGCAGCUUCCAUGAUGCGCCACCAGUUUUUCUCCACACGGCGUUUUUUACCCCAC
rnacentral:lncRNA from 1 species